rnacentral:rRNA from 1 species
AAUAGAUACCCCGGUAGUCCACGCUGUAAACGAUGAGGACUAAAUGUUGGUAGGGGAACCUAUCGGUAUUGAAGCUAACGCGAUAAGUCUUCCGCCUGGGAAGUACGGCCGCAAGGUUGAAACUCAAAUGAAUUGACGGGGGCCCGCACAAGCGGUGGAGCAUGUGGUUUAAUUCGAUGCAACGCGAAGAACCUUACCUACCCUUGACAUCCUGCGAAUCCCGAUGAGAGUUGGGAGUGCCGCAAGGAGCGCAGAGACAGGUGCUGCAUGGCUGUCGUCAGCUCGUGUUGUGAGAUGUUGGGUUAAGUCCCGUAACGAGCGCAACCCUUGUCCUUAGUUGCCAGCAUUAAGUUGGGGACUCUAAGGAGACUGCCGGUGAGGAACCGGAGGAAGGCGGGGACGACGUCAAGUCAUCAUGGCCUUUAUGGGUAGGGCUACACACGUGCUACAAUGGGGCGUACAGAGGGUCGCGAACCCGCGAGGGGGAGCCAAUCUCAUAAAGCGUCUCGUAGUCCGGAUUGGAGUCUGCAACUCGACUCC